CUAGUAUCACGUGAAAACAAUCCCACAUGGAAUGUUGAUGUUGACAUACAUAAAUAGUGUUUGAUUGCUAUUUUUUGGAUAAUAUUGUAGUUACUAUGCGUGCAAAACAACAAAAACUAAGUAAUGGUCCCAAUAAUUUAAGAGUUGGGUGAAUCCUUCUUGGUCACUUCCAAUUGCUGCAUCUAUGGGAAGGGUGCUGAGAAUUUGUUGUUCAAAAUCAACAAUUA
rnacentral:lncRNA from 1 species